AUACGUAGGGGGCGAGCGUUGUCCGGAAUGAUUGGGCGUAAAGGGCGCGUAGGCGGCCCGGUAAGUCUGGAGUGAAAGUCCUGUUUUUAAGAUGGGAAUUGCUUUGGAUACUGUCGGGCUUGAGUGCGGGAGAGGUAAGUGGAAUUCCCAGUGUAGCGGUGAAAUGCGUAGAGAUUGGGAGGAACACCAGUGGCGAAGGCGACUUACUGGACUGUAACUGACGCUGAGGCGCGAAAGUGUGGGGAGCAAACAGGAUUAGAUACCCUGGUAGUCCACACUGUAAACAAUGAAUGCUAGGUGUAGGGGGUAUCGACCCCUUCUGUGCCGCAGUCAACACAAUAAGCAUUCCGCCUGGGGAGUACGGCCGCAAGGUUGAAACUCAAAUGAAUUGACGGGG
rnacentral:rRNA from 1 species